GUCUGAAAAGGAAGUUGAAGAAGACAAAGCAGGAGGAAGAAGAAAGAUGUAAGGAGGAGGAAAGUAUAUUUAAGACCUCAAGAGAGACCCUGACGCCCGGAGGCCUGCCCACCACAUGGCCCGCCUGCCGCAGGGACCACUACAAUGUGCAACAGACGGUGUUCACAUCUUACUAUCUUAUAGCACUCUUCCUGUGAGGCUCCUCACAUCCCUAUAAGAAGAGCAGCAUUUCCCUUGUGUGAAAUGUACAGGUGAGCUCUACGCUUUAGUCAGCUUCCUGUUCACCGGGAGUAUCUAAAGCAGGCGUUCUCAGGCUGCGGGUCGAGACCCUCGGAGGGGUCUCAUAUCAGAGAUCCCGCACAUCAGAGAUCCCGCACAUCAGAGAUCCCGCACAUCAGAGGUCCCGCACAUCAGAGGUCCCGCACAUCAGAGGUCCCGCACAUCAGGUAUUAUGGUUGAUGCUUACCACAAUGCCAAAGGAACUGUAUUAAAGGUUGCGGCAUUAGGAAAGUUAAAAGCCACUGAAAAAAGGCAAAUGUCUGAACAAGAAUUGUUUUUCUUUGAAAACCACACAGUCCAGUAAAAUGUGACAUUCACCCAUUUCAGAUGAUUUUGACCCUGCUUGUGAAAUUUUAACCUUGACAUUAUUGUGGUACAGUACAUUCUCCUCUGCGGGCCAAUACCCACUAUAAAGAUACUCUGAAUCAAUCCAAGUAGAAUAAAACUUCCCCCAGAAAAACACACAUGCAACCCCCAGAUCCUCCUUGAAAGGAGCCAAGGGAAGAUGAAGAAUUUUGCUUCUUUCAACCAUAAAUAUUAGUUUCUUUACCCCAUCACGAGAUUAUAUUUGAGAAUAAUUUUUGCGUGCAUCAUAUCUAUCUUAAUCCUUAAGACACCUCAUUGAAGUUCAGUUUCUCCCCCAUUCCUCUUCCUACCAAAGUUGUAGAUACUGAAUCUCAAAUCAGAGAGGGACAAGAAUUGCCUGGAGUCACACAGCAUCUGGCAGUUCCACGAUCCCCCAGUGUUUCUACGUGCGUUGCUUGCUUGUUUUUUCCCAUCUGUAUCCUAUCUGGCUGAAGCCCCAGCUGCUGCUGCAGUCUUCCCCCUCUGUGGGAGUCACAAGCCAACAGCCAUCAGUCAAGUAAGGAAGUGUUCUGUACACGUCUGGCUGGCAUAGAGCUCAGGGGCAGCUGUCCCUCCAGAUGCUGACAAGGGUGGGGGAGGAGCAAAUACCUUGCAUGUCAGUGUCCCAUCGAGUCACUGCCAGCUCAGAAGGGCUUGAGGGAUCUGUGCUACUGGCCCCCAACACCUGCCUGUGUCUCUUCCUGUACUCUAUCCCCAGGAGACGGCCAUGUCAUCCCCUGCUGCACAGUUGAGGGCCAGCUGCAAGCCUAUCCUGGGGGCACCUGUGAUGCUUUAUGGUCCAUCAGCUUACCCGCACCUCACCUCCCACACCAGACCGUCACCUGCCUUGCCUUUCGCAUCCAGUGUAGCUCUCUAAUCAGUGAGCUGCUCUUCAAGGCUAGUCUCCUGGCCUUGUGAUUCCUCUCCCAGGGUGUGAACACUCUGCCCUUGCCCUCUAAUCUAUCUGGCAUCGAGAGAAUUCUUGCAGCAGUUUUAGAAAAACAAAAAUCUAUUUGUGUCAUGUUUCAUGUUGCUAGGUUUCUUUUCUUCUUCCUCCUCCUGUUCUUUUGCAAAUAACAAAUGUUUUAGUAUUAAAAUUUACUAGAUUCCUUAAAAUUAUGUAAAAGAUUUGUCUGUCUUAUCAUCUAUAUUCUAUUUUAAAAGUAGUUAUUCUUUUUGCAAUUUAAAUGUACAAAAAUGUAUACAACCUCCCUAUUCAAAUCCUCAAGGAGCCACUUUUAUCAACAAAAUGUACCAUCUUUAUUUUUGAAUAGCAAAAACUUAAUGGUAUGAAGUAAAAUGAACAGAUUCAUUU
ensembl:lincRNA